rnacentral:rRNA from 1 species
UACGUAGGGCGCAAGUCGUUGUCCGGAAUUAUUGGGCGUAAAGAGCUCGUAGGCGGCCUGUUGCGUCCGCUGUGAAAUCCCGGGGCUUAACCCCGGGCCUGCAGUGGAUACGGGCAGGCUGGAGGCAGGCAGGGGAGAACGGAAUUCCUGGUGUAGCGGUGAAAUGCGCAGAUAUCAGGAGGAACACCGAUGGCGAAGGCAGGUCUCUGGGCCACUACUGACGCUGAGAAGCGAAAGCAUGGGGAGCGAACAGG